rnacentral:lncRNA from 1 species
GGGAAAAGAAAAAAAUAGUAAAUAAAUUUGAAAAUUAACGAAAAAAAUGCAUAAAUGCAUGAAAUAAAUAACAAAUGCGUAAAUAAAAUUAUAAAAUUUAAAGGGUCUAAUCGUGAAAAAAAAACCUCAAGCCAAGACUCCCAUCUUGGAUCUAAGAUCCUUGAUGGAAGAUCUUGACAUGGGGAUUUUAUAACGACUAGAAAAAUGAAAAAAAGAAGUAGAUCUAGGGUUUUUGCAUUUUUAGAUUCAAGAUCUACAGAUUUUAGUUGGUUUUUGGGGAUUUGGUUGGUAAGAUGAUGUUUAAGAGGAUGAGAGAAGUGUAUGGUGUGAGUUUGAGGGUUUUUUUGGAGUUUCUGCCGCUGGUGGAGAUUUCCCGCGGGCGGCGUCACCAGUGGAGUGAGAAGAGGGGGUUUUGAGUUUAGAGAUAUAUGAGAGAAGUGGAAGAAUGAAG